rfam:Triticum aestivum genome assembly, contig: Triticum_aestivum_CS42_TGACv1_scaffold_030577_1BL
AAUGUACUCCCUCCGUCCCAAAAUUCUUGUCCUAGAUUUGUCCAAAUACGGAUGUAUGAAGUCGCGCUUUAGUAUUAGGUACAUCCGUAUCUAGACAAAUUUAAGACAAGAAUUUUGGGACGGAGGGAGUACAUA